GAUUCGCGGCCUAUCAGCUUGUUGGUGAGGUAAUGGCUCACCAAGGCGACGACGGGUAGCCGGCCUGAGAGGGUGACCGGCCACACUGGGACUGAGACACGGCCCAGACUCCUACGGGAGGCAGCAGUGGGGAAUAUUGCACAAUGGGCGAAAGCCUGAUGCAGCAACGCCGCGUGAGGGAUGACGGCCUUCGGGUUGUAAACCUCUUUUAGUAGGGAAGAAGCGAGAGUGACGGUACCUGCAGAAAAAGCACCGGCUAACUACGUGCCAGCAGCCGCGGUAAUACGUAGGGUGCAAGCGUUGUCCGGAAUUAUUGGGCGUAAAGAGCUCGUAGGCGGUUUGUCGCGUCUGCUGUGAAAUCCCGAGGCUCAACCUCGGGCUUGCAGUGGGUACGGGCAGACUAGAGUGCGGUAGGGGAGACUGGAAUUCCUGGUGUAGCGGUGGAAUGCGCAGAUAUCAGGAGGAACACCGAUGGCGAAGGCAGAUCUCUGGGCCGUAACUGACGCUGAGGAGCGAAAGCAUGGGGAGCGAACAGGAUUAGAUACCCUGGUAGUCCAUGCCGUAAACGUUGGGCGCUAGAUGUAGGGACCUUUCCACGGUUUCUGUGUCGUAGCUAACGCAUUAAGCGCCCCGCCUGGGGAGUACGGAAU
rnacentral:rRNA from 1 species